UGUUCAUUAAGGUGGCAGUUACCAGUUUUGGUGUACCAGAACAUGUGUCCCACGCAGAAAUUUGGUUAUAGUUAAGCAUUGAGGUAUAUAAUUGCAUCAUGUGGACUGAAAAAAUAAAUGAAUGUAAAUUCUAGGCUAUUGUACUACACAAGUAAGUAGUUGCAUACACAGGUUGGGGAUUUCCUUCACAAAUGGGUCCAAUCAGAAGUCAAAAUUGUGGUCUCCUCACUUGACGGCAUCCAAUCAAAGUGGGGAAAAACUUCAGUUUUAUGUAAACAAAAAUAUCUUGAGAUUUUGAUGGUAAGGAUAGGUUCGGACAAGGCUCUAAUUCACUGAAUAUCAUUUAUCUCUUGAAUUUUGCCUAAAAUUCUUGUCGGCUUUUAGCAGGAUUCUGCAGGUCUACUACAUAGUUGAUACUGUAGGACAGGCUACAGAAAUAAGAAAACUGGUCUCUCUCAUCAGCAAUAGUGUGGCAAUUCUAAAAUUUCAACAUGCGGCCUACACAGCUAGCUCAUGUGGAGAAGAGAUAUGAGACUGAUUGCGAAUAAAUGUACACUUAGUUUAGUGCAGCAUGGAUCUACAAAGUGAAAUAUAUGUACCAAAAAUAUUAGUUUAUUCAAAACUAAGCCUUUUUCAGCACUGCAGUCAACAGAACAGUGAUAGUGACAAGAAUUGAGACUAUUUAAUACCUCAAACAAUGAAAAAAUACUUCCUGAGAUCAGUUGUAAGUGGUUUUAUAUCAUGCAUGAAACAAUAAACUAAAGUAUUUUUGAGAACUGUUGGAUAAUUCAUACACUGUACCAGAAAACUCACACAAUAAAAUUUAUUAAAUAUGAACACAAUC